rnacentral:rRNA from 1 species
UACGUAGGGCGCAAGCGUUGUCCGGAUUUAUUGGGCGUAAAGAGCGUGUAGGCGGCUUUGCAAGUCCGUUGUGAAAACUCGAGGCUCAACCUCGAGACGCCGGUGGAAACUGCAAAGCUAGAGUCCGGAAGAGGAGAGUGGAAUUCCUGGUGUAGCAGUGAAAUGCGUAGAUAUCAGGAGGAACACCAAUUGCGAAGGCAGCUCGCUGGGACGUUACUGACGCUGAGACGCGAAAGCGUGGGGAGCAAACGGG